rnacentral:lncRNA from 10 species
ACCUGGCCUAAAGAACUGCUUUUUAAACAAAAAAGUUAUUUACCAUUGAAGUUACCUCUAAAAAAAUCCAAUAUAUGUUCCAAAGAUGUUUUAAAUUUCUCAAAUCACAUCAAUCCCAAGUGCAAAACUCACUAAUAGUUUCUCUUUGUGAUUAAAAUUAAACCUAAAUUUUUAAUUCUUUAAUAUGAUCUAUAAGCCCCUUACAUUUCUGGCCUUGUAAUCCCUUCAACCUCAUUUCAAACCACUCUUUCUCCCACUUUCUCCAUACCAGCAGACUAGAUUUCUUGUUGAGCCUCAAGUACAAUUGUUUUUGCUGAAUCAACAGUCUUUACAUUUGCUGUUCCAUUCUGCUGCCUAGGUCACUCUUCUAGACAUUGCUCACCACUUCCAUCAACUUGGAAGUUUCUGCUUGAAUAUCACUACCUCAGGGAAGGCCUCCCUGACCACUUUAUCAAAAUAGGACUUCCAAUUCCAAACCCAAUUACCUUCUAUCUAUUUACCAUGCUUUAUUUUUCUCUUUAGAACAUAUCAUAUUUUGAAAUUAUAUUAUGUAAUUAUUUACUUGUUUAUUGUUUGUCUUCCCUAAUAAGGUAGUAAGCUCCAUGCAGGCAAGGACUCCAUCUCCUUCACUGUUUAUGCCAGCUCCUAGUGAUAGUGGCAGGAGGCAGUCAAAUGCCUAGGCAGAUAGAGGCAGGGCCAGUGAAACCCAACCUUCAAGCCAAUGACAGUUUAAAGCCUAGCUACAAAUCUCAGGUAAAUCCAAGGACCGGACUGAGAACUUCUCUUCCUGUUUGGCAUGCUUUCCUCCGAUUCAUCCCUACCCUUCACUUAUUUUACAUGUACCUACCCUUUCCUAAUUUGUUUUCUACACUGUUGUGCCCCUUGAGCCUUUGUUUUAGCCUUUUUUGCAUACUCACAAACCAAUCAGCACACACUCCCCCAGUCU